rnacentral:rRNA from 1 species
UGCAAGUCGAGCGGAUGAAAGGAGCUUGCUCCUGGAUUCAGCGGCGGACGGGUGAGUAAUGCCUAGGAAUCUGCCUGGUAGUGGGGGACAACGUUUCGAAAGGAACGCUAAUACCGCAUACGUCCUACGGGAGAAAGCAGGGGACCUUCGGGCCUUGCGCUAUCAGAUGAGCCUAGGUCGGAUUAGCUAGUUGGUGAGGUAAUGGCUCACCAAGGCGACGAUCCGUAACUGGUCUGAGAGGAUGAUCAGUCACACUGGAACUGAGACACGGUCCAGACUCCUACGGGAGGCAGCAGUGGGGAAUAUUGGACAAUGGGCGAAAGCCUGAUCCAGCCAUGCCGCGUGUGUGAAGAAGGUCUUCGGAUUGUAAAGCACUUUAAGUUGGGAGGAAGGGCAGUAAAUUAAUACUUUGCUGUUUUGACGUUACCGACAGAAUAAGCACCGGCUAACUCUGUGCCAGCAGCCGCGGUAAUACAGAGGGUGCAAGCGUUAAUCUGAAUUACUGGGCGUAAAGCGCGCGUAGGUGGUUUGUUAAAUUGGAUGUGAAAUCCCCGGGCUCAACCUGGCAACUGCAUC